rnacentral:lncRNA from 1 species
UGCUGUCCCAUUUCUAGCUACAUGAUGAACAAACCAGCCCUUUGGCUUUAAUAUGCCACAGUUCUAUAAUUUCAACACACUGUAAUUCUGCCCUGCUAACAUGCUAUGAUUUUAAUAUUCUAACUUGCCAUAAUUGUGUGACUGUAGAAACUGCACAGUCUAUGAUUUUGUAAUUUAAUAGUCUCUAGCUUUAACAAUCCCAGAUUCAAUAAAAUGUCUCUUACCAGCUCCAAAA